rnacentral:tRNA from 2 species
GGGCGGAUACCAAAGCGGCCAAAUGGACCAGACUGUAAAUCUGGCGGCUCAGCCUUCGCAGGUUCGAAUCCUGCUCCGCCCACCA